CACGCUUUUGAAAGAUGGUUUCGGCUAUCGCUUACAGAUGGGCCCGCGGUGCAUUAGCUAGUUGGUAGGGUAAUGGCCUACCAAGGCAACGAUGCAUAGCCGACCUGAGAGGGUGAUCGGCCACACUGGGACUGAGACACGGCCCAGACUCCUACGGGAGGCAGCAGUAGGGAAUCUUCCGCAAUGGACGAAAGUCUGACGGAGCAACGCCGCGUGUAUGAAGAAGGUUUUCGGAUCGUAAAGUACUGUUGUUAGAGAAGAACAAGGAUAAGAGUAACUGCUUGUCCCUUGACGGUAUCUAACCAGAAAGCCACGGCUAACUACGUGCCAGCAGCCGCGGUAAUACGUAGGUGGCAAGCGUUGUCCGGAUUUAUUGGGCGUAAAGCGCGCGCAGGCGGUCUUUUAAGUCUGAUGUGAAAGCCCCCGGCUUAACCGGGGAGGGUCAUUGGAAACUGGAAGACUGGAGUGCAGAAGAGGAGAGUGGAAUUCCACGUGUAGCGGUGAAAUGCGUAGAUAUGUGGAGGAACACCAGUGGCGAAGGCGACUCUCUGG
rnacentral:rRNA from 1 species